GGCUAGUUGGCUGUUACGGCACCCACCUCCAAACUUCCUCAUUCCAGCUAGAGAAGCGGCCCGCCCUCCCUCUCUGGAUAUAGUGCGGGUUUGUGCUGCUCACCCCUUUGGGGGCCCAGUUCCUAUGGCUCCUGUCUUGCCUGACAGCCGCUGGAGGAAGAUAGUAAGUGUAAGGAGCUAGGAAGACACCACAAGGGAGAUGAGCAUAUGGCAAUGUCUUCCUUUGCAGAAGUUAAAGAUUACUUGCACCCAGAGGUUGAGCAAGACUGGAGUGGGCCCUGGGUCAAAAGGUGAAGAUGGGCCUCUGAACAUCCCCACCUUCUUCUUCAGAGAGGCUGGAGUGGGAGAGAGAACAAGCUGUCAACUAGUAGACCAAUCCCUCCCCCAGGAAAAGUUACCCUCCUCCCUCCUGAUCAAUUACAGCUAUGUCCUUGCUUCUACCCUUCUUUAAAUGUAAUAAUACUUCAACAUUUCAAAGGUUCUUCUUUACAUGGUGAAGCUCCAAAGACCGAUGAUAAGCAGCAAGGAUGGAAAGCAAGUUUCUGUCAUUUGAAAUACCAAUAUGGAACAACUGGAAGA